AUUGAACGCUGGCGGAAGGCCUAACACAUGCAAGUCGAGCGAGCGGCGGACGGGUGAGGACUGUAUGGGGACUGCCCGAUAGAGGGGGAUAACUACUGGAAACGGUGGCAAAUACGGCAUACGUUCGGAGAAACCCUAUUGGAUUAGCUAGUAGGUAAGGUAAUGGCUUACCUAGGCGACGAUCCCUAGCGGGUCUGAGAGGAUGAUCAGCCACACUGGGACUGAGACACGGCCCAGACUCCUACGGAGGCAGCAGUGGGGAAUAUUGCACAAUGGGCGCAAUCCUGAUGCAGCCAUGCCGCGUGUAUGAAGAAGGCCCUAGGGUUGUAAAGUACUUUCAGUCGGGAGGCGUUACCGACAGAAGAAGCACCGGCUAACUCCGUGCCAGCAGCCGCGGUAAUAC
rnacentral:rRNA from 1 species